rnacentral:rRNA from 1 species
CCUACGGGGGGCAACAGUGGGGAAUAUUGCACAAUGGGGGAAACCCUGAUGCAGCGACGCCGCGUGAGCGAAGAAGUAUUUCGGUAUGUAAAGCUCUAUCAGCAGGAACGAGACAAGACGGUACCUGACUAAGAAGCCCCGGCUAACUACGUGCCAGCAGCCGCGGUAAUACGUAGGGGGCAAGCGUUAUCCGGAAUCAAUGGGUGUAAAGCGCUCGUAGGCGGUAUGUCAAGUCAAGGGUGAAAUCCCCGCGCUCAACGUGGGAACUGCCUUUGAAACUGGCAAACUGGAGUGUGUGAGAGGAUAGUGGAAUUCCAGGUGUAGGAGUGAAAUCCGUAGAUAUCUGGAGGAACAUCAGUGGCGAAGGCGACUAUCUGGCACAUAACUGACGCUGAGGAGCGAAAGCGUGGGUAGCAAACAGGAUUAGAUACCCCAGUAGUC